rnacentral:rRNA from 1 species
UACGUAGGUGGCGAGCGUUAUCCGGAUUUACUGGGCGUAAAGGGAGCGUAGGCGGAUGAUUAAGUGGGAUGUGAAAUACCCGGGCUCAACUUGGGUGCUGCAUUCCAAACUGGUUAUCUAGAGUGCAGGAGAGGAGAGUGGAAUUCCUAGUGUAGCGGUGAAAUGCGUAGAGAUUAGGAAGAACACCAGUGGCGAAGGCGACUCUCUGGACUGUAACUGACGCUGAGGCUCGAAAGCGUGGGGAGCAAACAGGAUUAGAAACCCGAGUAGUCC